rnacentral:rRNA from 1 species
UUGAUUCUGGCUCAGGACGAACGCGGGCGGCGUGCUUAACACAUGCAAGUCGAACGGAAAGGCCCGCUUGCGGGUACUCGAGUGGCGAACGGGUGAGUAACACGUGGGUAACCUGCCCCCUGCUUCGGGAUAACUCCGGGAAACCGGGGCUAAUACCGGAUAUUCAUUGCCUGCCGCAUGGUGGGUGGUGGAAAGUUUUUUCGGCUGGGGAUGGGCCCGCGGCCUAUCAGCUUGUUGGUGGGGUGAUGGCCUACCAAGGCUUCGACGGGUAGCCGGCCUGAGAGGGCGACCGGCCACACUGGGACUGAGACACGGCCCAGACUCCUACGGGAGGCAGCAGUGGGGAAUAUUGCGCAAUGGGCGGAAGCCUGACGCAGCGACGCCGCGUGAGGGAUGACGGCCUUCGGGUUGUAAACCUCUUUCAGCAGGGACGAAUGUAGACGGUACCUGUAGAAGAAGCACCGGCCAACUACGUGCCAGCAGCCGCGGUAAUACGUAGGGUGCGAGCGUUGUCCGGAAUUAUUGGGCGUAAAGAGCUCGUAGGCGGUCUGUCGCGUCGAAUGUGAAAACCCGGGGCUCAACUCCGGGCUUGCAUUCGAUACGGGCAGGCUAGAGUUCGGUAGGGGAGUCUGGAAUUCCUGGUGUAGCGGUGAAAUGCGCAGAUAUCAGGAGGAACACCGGUGGCGAAGGCGGGACUCUGGGCCGAUACUGACGCUGAGGAGCGAAAGCGUGGGGAGCGAACAGGAUUAGAUACCCUGGUAGUCCACGCCGUAAACGUUGGGCGCUAGGUGUGGGGGUCCUUCCACGAUCUCCGUGCCGCAGCUAACGCAUUAAGCGCCCCGCCUGGGGAGUACGGCCGCAAAGCUAAAACUCAAAG